rnacentral:rRNA from 1 species
UACGUAGGGCGCAAGCGUUGUCCGGAAUUAUUGGGCGUAAAGAGCUCGUAGGCGGUUUGUCGCGUCUGCUGUGAAAACCUAAGGCUCAACCUUGGGCUUGCAGUGGGUACGGGCAGACUAGAGUGCGGUAGGGGUGACUGGAAUUCCUGGUGUAGCGGUGGAAUGCGCAGAUAUCAGGAGGAACACCGAGUGGCGAAAGGCAGGUCACUGGGC